rnacentral:rRNA from 1 species
UACGUAGGAGGCGAGCGUUGUCCGGAGUUACUGGGCGUAAAGGGUGCGCAGGCGGCGUCACGCGUGGAUAGUUGAAAUCUCCUGGCUUACCUGGGAGGGUGGUAUCCAGACGGUGGCGCUUGAGGGUCGGAGAGGGGCGUGAAUUCCGGGUGGAGCGGUGAAAUGCGUAGAGAUCGUAAGGAAGACCAGUGGCGAAGGCGGGUCUCUGGACAGUUCCUGACACUGAGGCACGAAGGCCAGGGGAGCAAACGGG